ensembl:lncRNA
UUUUAGAAAAGCAGGUUUAUUGGUCCGGCUGCUCACCAGAACACAGCAACUCGAGGAGCUUCCCUAGAGCCCACAGGAAACUGUAUCUGCCCACAGUGAUAGCCCAUCAGCACAGGGGACCUCAUCCUGCAUCUGCCCACCCUCCUCAGCUUAUCUGUCUUCAAUCGGAGGAGGGAAGGGGACCAAGAAAAAUAAAGGAAAAUUAAAAAUAAAAAAUAAAAAGCAAAGCUUCGUAUUGUAUAAAAGGUUUGUGGUUUCCAUCCCCCCCCCAAAAAAAUAAUCAAUUAGCUGCAAUUCUAAAAAGCAGGGAAGAUGUGUCGUUGGGGAGAAGGAAGUAGCCUGUAGCUAUCAUUUGGGGGAGGUGUUGCCUUUGCUCCUGACCAGCCUUUAAAGGGGGAAUCAAUGUGUCCUCAGGAGAAAACCUGGUCAGGAGGCAAGCUCUACAGUUUUACAUUAGGGAAAGAUCCAUGCUAGAAGCAGCUGAGAGGGAGUUAGGGUGAGCAAGCCAGCAGGCCCUACUUCCCCAGUUUCCGGCUAGGGAUCGCUACCAGAGGCCUGGCCUUUUUAGCACCUUGCUUUCUCCCUUCCUGCGGCCAGCCCUGCACAGCUCGCUGCUGCCUCCUGCUGGAACGCUAAUUUUCUGGGCUCGGAAAACAAGACUUCCCAGAAGGCAGUUCCCAGAUCCUGGAAGAGAGAAUCCAGUCCGGCUUACUUCUCUUUGGAACACUUUCUAGAACUGACUGCCCUCCAGAUCCAGAGACUGUCCUGCUGUCCUGAGAUCUUACCAAAGCGGAACUCUUGUCUUGAAUUUCUUUGUGUGGCUAAUGAGGGCAUUUCUUUCUUAUUCCAUUUCAACCCUCUCCUAUCUUCCUAUCUCUUCCCAAAGCCAUACUCAACGUGCUCCUGUGUGCAGAUUUUGUAGAUUUGUAAACGUGCUCCUCUCCUGACACACUUCUCAUCCUUUCCUAGGCUCAACUCACCUCCUGCUUACUUCGGUGAGACCUUUAUCCAGGGUAACACUCUGCCUUCACCCACCGUAUUGCCUUAGAUUUCUCCAAAGACCCUCAGGUCUUCCGGUGAGCCACCUCCUGUGUGAGCAAAGGUCUCCCUACACACAUUUUAUCUUCGUGGUACUUUGAACUGCCUUUAUUUUGAAACAGCGUCUCGAUAAAUUACUCAGGCUGGCUUUGAGCUCACUCUGCAACCCAGGCAGGUCUUGAGCUUGCAAAUAUCCUGCCUCAGCCUCUCAGGUAACUGGGAGAGCAAGCUGGCACUAGAAAGGCGCCCCUACAAGGGUUGUCUUUAGGAUUCGCUCUUUUCCUCUUGCAGAAAUUAUGGCUUUGGAGUCUCCCAGGGUGAGGAAAAGGAGAAACAGCUCAGGAAGCAAGGGUGGUGCGACUUAGUAUGAAGCUGUGUUGGGGAGGGGCAGGCCUCUGACAGGGCCUAACUAGGGAGCUUAGAAAAAGCAUCCUGGAGCAGGACAACCAGGGCAUGGGUCAUUCUUCCAUAUCCUACCCAGACUGUGUUCAAAUUGAGGCUGUCCAUGGUGAGAGACCAUCUAUCCCUCGGUCUAAGGCCUAUGCUUUGGAAGGCUGCUCUUCCAGGGGAUAUGAUUUCCCCGCUUUAAAAAAAAAAAGAAAAAGAAAGAAAGGGGGGGAAAAAA